UCUCCUGUGCCUUAAUGAACAAGGCACUGGCCUCCCAAGCCAGGACAUGUGGUUUCAAGUCCCACCUGGGGUG
rnacentral:tRNA from 1 species